GAUGAACGCUGGCGGCGUGCCUAAUACAUGCAAGUCGAGCGAACAGACGAGGAGCUUGCUCCUCUGACGUUAGCGGCGGACGGGUGAGUAACACGUGGAUAACCUACCUAUAAGACUGGGAUAACUUCAGGAAACCGGAGCUAAUACCGGAUAAUAUAUUGAACCGCAUGGUUCAAUAGUGAAAGACGGUUUUGCUGUCACUUAUAGAUGGAUCCGCGCCGCAUUAGCUAGUUGGUAAGGUAACGGCUUACCAAGGCAACGAUGCGUAGCCGACCUGAGAGGGUGAUCGGCCACACUGGAACUGAGACACGGUCCAGACUCCUACGGGAGGCAGCAGUAGGGAAUCUUCCGCAAAGGGCGAAAGCCUGACGGAGCAACGCCGCGUGAGUGAUGAAGGUCUUCGGAUCGUAAAACUCUGUUAUUAGGGAAGAACAAAUGUGUAAGUAACUAUGCACGUCUUGACGGUACCUAAUCAGAAAGCCACGGCUAACUACGUG
rnacentral:rRNA from 1 species